rnacentral:lncRNA from 1 species
UAUACCUAUCAGGGUGGAAUCAUCCAAAGUAUCCAGCCUGACUCCUGUUAAGAUUACCAGGUGGUCUCCCAUCCUGGAUUACUGCCUUCCACAGGGUUGCAUCUCUCAGGCUUUACGGUUAUUGUCGCUUCUGUGUUGAUGGGAAAUGCAGUGGCUCACUCUUGCUUUUCUGUGCAAUUUUUUCCCCCCUAGGGUGAUCGGGGUGUCAUAGGGCCCCCAGGGCCCCCAGGUGUUAAAGGCUCAAAGGGACAUCCUGGGAUAGCAGGAGGAACUGGAAUGUCAGGCCCCCCUGGACAACCUGGUCCUGCUGGAGUUCGUGGCCCGCAAGGGAUGAGAGGCCCAAAAGGUCGCCGGGGCGCUCGAGGUCCCGAUGGAGCAGUGGGCGAGUCAGGGUCACGAGGUGUCAAGGGCAUUCUAGGAGAUCCAGGGAAACCGGGACCAGAUGGGCAGCAGGCAAGUCUAUCUUUUUCUACGUUCUACAUUUCUACAUUUUAUUUGCUUGUGAUCAGUCACCAUAACCGUAUCCCUUGCAAAUUACAAUUUACAAUAGUCAGGUCCAGGAAUAGUACAAGACUUAAUAAAGCAGAUCCACAUAGGUUAAAAGAACAGGAUUAAUUUAAGCACUUAAAAGGAUACAUAAAAUGGGUUAGAUUUCAUUCUCCCCUUUACAAGAAACUCCAACAGAAUGAAGUUUAUCUGUUGAAAUGGUUUCGGCGGAUAGCUUUUCUGUAAAACUGCAGCUGUGCUUGAGUUUCAAUAAGGACGUUGCAUAAUUAGAGACAUGAAUGUUUUCAGGGAGGAAGCAGGAAACAUUCUUCUUUUUUUGGU